rnacentral:lncRNA from 1 species
AUUACCUGCCAGGUCCAGGUGGUGAGGGAGGCUGCUGACACAGCUAAAGGGUCCCAGCAUGUGAAAAGAAAAACACGUUUAGGAAGAGGAGCGCAUCUCCUAGGAAUGAUCAUUUGUUUGACCUUAAUCUGUCAUUGGCAAAGCUUCCAGGCUGCACUGCAUUAGCAGACGGAUAAUCGGCUCCAGCUGAAAUUACUUGCACAGCGUCGGUGAUGGAUUAGUCCCUGGUUAAAGUAACUGAGCUGAACCCACAGAUGCCGAAUUACACGGGAGGGAGUUCUGAUAUCCACCCCGCUGCGCUCCAGAGAGCAACUGGUGAGUGCUUACUCUAACUCUUGUACGUCUCUGCCACAGCACCUGGGCAGAUUGAGCUCUUGGGGGAUAAUGAGGGAGGAAACUGGCCCAACG